rnacentral:rRNA from 1 species
GAACUUAAGCAUAUCAAUAAGCGGAGGAAAAGAAACCAACAGGGAUUGCCUCAGUAACGGCGAGUGAAGCGGCAACAGCUCAAAUUUGAAAUCUGGCCGCAAGGUCCGAGUUGUAAUUUGUAGAGGAUGCUUUUGGCGAGGUGCCUUCCGAGUUCCCUGGAACGGGACGCCAUAGAGGGUGAGAGCCCCGUACGGUAGGACCACCAAGCCUCUGUAAAGCUCCUUCGACGAGUCGAGUAGUUUGGGAAUGCUGCUCUAAAUGGGAGGUGUACGUCUUCUAAAGCUAAAUACCGGCCAGAGACCGAUAGCGCACAAGUAGAGUGAUCGAAAGAUGAAAAGCACUUUGAAAAGAGGGUUAAAAAGUACGUGAAAUUGUUGAAAGGGAAGCAUUCAUGACCAGACUUGGGCUUGGUUGAACAUCCGGCGUUCUCGCCGGUGCACUCUGCCAGUCCAGGCCAGCAUCAGUUUGCCCCGGGGGAUAAAGGCGGCGGGAAUGUGGCCCCCUUCGGGGAGUGUUAUAGCCCGUCGUGUAAUGCCCUGGGGCGGACUGAGGAACGCGCUUCGGCACGGAUGCUGGCGUAAUGGUCAUCAAUGACCCGUCUUGAAACACGGACCAAGGAGUCGUCUUCGUAUGCGAGUGUUCGGGUGUCAAACCCCUACGCGUAAUGAAAGUGAACGUAGGUGAGAGCUUCGGCGCAUCACCGACCGAUCCUGAUGUUCUCGGAUGGAUUUGAGUAAGAGCAUACGGGGCCGGACCCGAAA